rnacentral:tRNA from 1 species
UCAGUGGCCGAGUGGAUAAUACGAUGGCGUUUGAAGCGAAAGGUACUGGGUUCGAGUCCCAGAGUGA